GACGAACGCUGGCGGCGUGCCUAAUACAUGCAAGUAGAACGCUGAAGGAGGAGCUUGCUUCUCUGGAUGAGUUGCGAACGGGUGAGUAACGCGUAGGUAACCUGCCUGUUAGCGGGGGAUAACUAUUGGAAACGAUAGCUAAUACCGCAUAAGAGUAGAUGUUGCAUGACAUUUGCUUAAAAGGUGCAAUUGCAUCACUACCAGAUGGACCUGCGUUGGAUUAGCUAGUUGUUGAGGUAACGGCUCACCAAGGCAACGAUACAUAGCCGACCUGAGAGGGUGAUCGGCCACACUGGGACUGAGACACGGCCCAGACCCCUACGGGAGGGAGCAGUAGGGAAUCGUCGGCAAUGGACGGAAGUCUGACCGAGCAAAGCCGCGUGAGUGAAGAAGGUUUUCGGGUCGUAAAGCUCUGUUGUAAGGGAAGAAAGAGAGUGAGAGUGGAAAGUUCACACUGUGACGGUAUCUUACCAGAAAGGGACGGCUAACUACGUG
rnacentral:rRNA from 1 species